rnacentral:rRNA from 1 species
GACGAACGCUGGCGGCGUGCCUAAUACAUGCAAGUAGAACGCUGAAGGAGGAGCUUGCUUCUCUGGAUGAGUUGCGAACGGGUGGGUAACGCGUAGGUAACCUGCCUGGUAGCGGGGGAUAACUAUUGGAAACGAUAGCUAAUACCGCAUAAUAGCAGUUGUUGCAUGACAACUGUUUGAAAGGUGCAAUUGCACCACUACCAGAUGGACCCGCGUUGUAUUAGCUAGUUGGUGGGGUAACGGCUCACCAAGGCGACGAUACAUAGCCGACCUGAGAGGGUGAUCGGCCACACUGGGACUGAGACACGGCCCAGACUCCUACGGGAGGCAGCAGUAGGGAAUCUUCGGCAAUGGACGGAAGUCUGACCGAGCAACGCCGCGUGAGUGAAGAAGGUUUUCGGAUCGUAAAGCUCUGUUGUAAGAGAAGAACGAGUGUGAGAGUGGAAAGUUCACACUGUGACGGUAUCUUACCAGAAAGGGACGGCUAACUACGUG